rnacentral:rRNA from 1 species
AUGACUCGCAGGGUGGUGCUCAUGACCUUUUUGCUUUCUUGGCAUGUUUAUAAAGAGAUCACACAUGAAAAGGGGAUGCUACCCAUGGUCCAUGGAGGCCUCCUUCAGAUUCUUGCAAAGCUACUUCUCGUCGCUGUUAUGUACUGUAUCAAAGAUUAUCCUAAGGGAAUAUGGAGAAGGGGAAGAUGGCGAUCAAGACGCCAUCUAAGGGACGCCCAUUCCUCAUGCUUCGACAAACAGGAAUGUGGGGGAGCAGUGCUGGAGCGUGCCACCAGAGGGCUGGGUGAAGUUGAACUCAGAUGGCAGGUUUGUUGCACCAACAGGACAGGCUGGGUGCAAUAUGAUCUUACGGGACUAUGA